CGUGGCAAACGGGUGAGUAACGCGUGGGCGACCUGCCUUCGAGUGGGGGAUAACCUUCCGAAAGGAGGGCUAAUACCGCAUGACAUCCCGUGUUUGGAUACACGGAGAUCAAAGCUGGGGAUCGCAAGACCUGGCGCUUGAAGAGGGGCCCGCGUCCGAUUAGCUAGUUGGCGAGGUAACGGCUCACCAAGGCUCCGAUCGGUAUCCGGCCUGAGAGGGCGGACGGACACACUGGAACUGAGACACGGUCCAGACUCCUACGGGAGGCAGCAGUGGGGAAUUUUGCGCAAUGGGCGCAAGCCUGACGACGCAACGCCGCGUGGAGGAUGAAGACCUUCGGGUCGUAAACUCCUUUCGACCGAGAUGAAAAGGCGCCGGCCUAGCACGCCGGCAUCCUGACAGUAUCGAGGGAAGCAGCCCCGGCUAACUCCGUGCCAGCAGCCGCGGUAAUACGGGGGGGGCAAGCGUUGUUCGGAAUUACUGGGCGUAAAGGGUUUGUAGGUGGCCGACUAAGUCAGACGUGAAAUCCCUCAGCUUAACUGGGGAACUGCGUCUGGGACUGGUCGGCUUGAGGGUCGGAGAGGAACGCGGAAUUCCAGGUGUAGCGGUGAAAUGCGUAGAUAUCUGGAGGAACACCGGUGGCGAAGGCGGCGUUCUGGACGGCAACUGACACUGAGGAACGAAAGCUAGGGGAGCAAACAGGAUUAGAUACCCUGGUAGUCCUAGCCCUAAACCAUCAGAACUUGGGGUGGCCCGCGUAGGCGGGUCGUCCCGUAGCUAACGCGUUAAGUUCUGCGCCUGGGGAGUACGGUCGCAAGACUGAAACUCAAAGGAAUUGACGGGGGCCCGCACAAGCGGUGGAACAUGUGGUUCAAUUCGA
rnacentral:rRNA from 1 species